AGAGUUUGAUCAUGGCUCAGAGCGAACGCUGGCGGCAGGCCUAACACAUGCAAGUCGAACGGACCCUUCGGGGUUAGUGGCGGACGGGUGAGUAACACGUGGGAACGUGCCUUUAGGUUCGGAAUAGCUCCUGGAAACGGGUGGUAAUGCCGAAUGUGCCCUUCGGGGGAAAGAUUUAUCGCCUUUAGAGCGGCCCGCGUCUGAUUAGCUAGUUGGUGAGGUAACGGCUCACCAAGGCGACGAUCAGUAGCUGGUCUGAGAGGAUGACCAGCCACACUGGGACUGAGACACGGCCCAGACUCUUACGGGAGGCAGCAGUGGGGAAUCUUGCGCAAUGGGCGAAAGCCUGACGCAGCCAUGCCGCGUGAAUGAUGAAGGUCUUAGGAUUGUAAAAUUCUUUCACCGGGGACGAUAAUGACGGUACCCGGAGAAGAAGCCCCGGCUAACUUCGUGCCAGCAGCCGCGGUAAUA
rnacentral:rRNA from 1 species